AUCUUAAUAAUAUAAAAAAAAUUAUAUCAUAUUUUCAAUAUGUUAAUAGGUACAGUCCUUUAAGAUA
rnacentral:tRNA from 1 species